rnacentral:tRNA from 1 species
GGCGUGGUGUGCCCCGAUGGGUAAGGGGAUUGGGCGUUUUGCCGCUCAAUGGAUGCUGGUUCAAGUCCAGCCCCACGUCG